ensembl:misc_RNA Gm27369 predicted gene, 27369
GCUCCAGAGGCAGCUGUCAACAUCUGGGCCAACAGUCUAGGCCAGCCUCAAGAAAGUAUGGUCUCUCAGGA